UACGGAGGGGGCUAGCGUUGUUCGGAAUUACUGGGCGUAAAGCGUGCGUAGGCGGUUGGCUAAGUCAGAUGUGAAAGCCCUGGGCUCAACCUGGGAAUGGCAUUUGAAACUGGCUGGCUAGAGUGUGAUAGAGGAUGGCGGAAUUCCCGGUGUAGCGGUGAAAUGCGUAGAGAUCGGGAGGAACAUCCGUGGCGAAGGCGGCCAUCUGGAUCAACACUGACGCUGAGGCACGAAAGCGUGGGGAGCAAACAGG
rnacentral:rRNA from 1 species